rnacentral:rRNA from 1 species
UACGUAGGGUGCGAGCGUUAAUCGGAAUUACUGGGCGUAAAGCGUGCGCAGGCGGUUAUGUAAGACAGAUGUGAAAUGCCCGGGCUUAACCUGGGAACUGCAUUUGUGACUGCAUGGCUAGAGUUUGGCAGAGGGGGGGUAGAAUUCCACGUGUAGCAGUGAAAUGCGUAGAUAUGUGGAGGAACACCGAUGGCGAAGGCAGCCCCCCUGGGUCAAGACUGACGCUCAUGGCACGAA